rnacentral:rRNA from 1 species
UACGGAGGGUGCAAGCGUUAUCCGGAUUUACUGGGUUUAAAGGGUGCGCAGGCGGAUAUGUAAGUCAGUGGUGAAAUCUCCGGGCUUAACCCGGAAACUCCCGUUGAUACUAUAUAUCUUGAAUGCUGUGGAGGUAAGCAGAAUAUGUCAUGUAGCGGUGAAAUGCUUAGAGAUGACAUAGAAUACCUAUUGCGAAGGCAGCUUACUACGCAGAUAUUGACGCUCAUGCACGAAAGCGUGGGGAGCGAACAGG